rnacentral:rRNA from 1 species
UACGUAGGGUGCGAGCGUUAAUCGGAAUUACUGGGCGUAAAGCGUGCGCAGGCGGUUCGUUAAGUCAGAUGUGAAAGCCCCGGGCUUAACCUGGGAACUGCGUUUGAAACUGGGAGACUCGAGUGUGGCAGAGGGGGGUGGAAUUCCACGUGUAGCAGUGAAAUGCGUAGAUAUGUGGAGGAACACCGAUGGCGAAGGCAGCCCCCUGGGUCAACACUGACGCUCAUGCACGAAAGCGUGGGGAGCAAACAGG